rnacentral:lncRNA from 1 species
UAUAACUAAGCGAUUCAUUUCAAUUUUUGCAGUCUUGGGAUGAUAUUGCUAUUGAAUGGAAACAUGUUCAUUCAACAACAAGUCGAGGGUGGAGAAAAGCUAACAGGGUUAUGUGUAUUUUAUAAUUCUUAAAUCGUAUUCAAGUAAUCACGUGUCAAUUGUUUCGUUCUUACGAUACUACUAACAUUUUGCUUUCUCUUAUAAAUAACAGAUUUUUGUUACAAACAAUAUUUGUUGGCCGUGGACGUUAGAGAUGGAUAGCCUUUCUUUUCAAAGGUUUAUGUACCGAAGACAUGGUAAAGCUUGACAGAUCUACAAGGUAAAUGUUAUUAUAUGUAUUUUCGGGUAUAUAUUGAAGUAUACUUGGUGUAAGUUGUAAAAAAUAUAUUUGGUGUAAGAUGUAAAGUAAAGGGUGGUGGUCAACAUGUUUCUCUAUUCUCUGCAUAUAUGUAUUUUUG